GACGAACGCUGGCGGCGUGCUUAACACAUGCAAGUCGAACGGAAAGGCCCUGCUUUUGUGGGGUGCUCGAGUGGCGAACGGGUGAGUAACACGUGAGUAACCUGCCCUUGACUUUGGGAUAACUUCAGGAAACUGGGGCUAAUACCGGAUAGGAGCUCCUGCUGCAUGGUGGGGGUUGGAAAGUUUCGGCGGUUGGGGAUGGACUCGCGGCUUAUCAGCUUGUUGGUGGGGUAGUGGCUUACCAAGGCUUUGACGGGUAGCCGGCCUGAGAGGGUGACCGGCCACAUGGGGACUGAGAUACGGCCCAGACUCCUACGAGAGGCAGCAGUGGGGAAUAUUACACAAGGGGCGGAAGCCAGAUGCAGCAGCGCCGCGUGGGGGAUGACGGCCUUCGUGUUGAAAACCGCUUUCGCCUGUGGCGAAGCGUGAGUGACGGUAAUGGGGAAAGAAGCACCGGCUAACUACG
rnacentral:rRNA from 1 species